rnacentral:misc_RNA from 1 species
GAUGAAGAACGUAGCGAAAUGCGAUACUUGGUGUGAAUUGCAGAAUCCCGUGAACCAUCGAGUCUUUGAACGCAAGUUGCGCCCGAAGCCACUAGGCCGAGGGCACGCCUGCCUGGGCGUCACACGUCGUUGCCCCCCACCAUCUACUCCUUCGGGAUUGCGGGGGGCGGAUGAUGGCCUCCCGUGCGCCUAGCCGCGCGGUUGGCAUAAAUACCAAGUCCUCGGCGACGCACGCCACGACAAUCGGUGGUUGCGAAACCUCGGUUGCCCGUCGUGUGCGUUCGUCGCGCAUCGAGGGCUCGAAAAAAUGCUCGGCUCCGGCUCGGCUUUCAACGCGACCCCAGGUCAGGCGGGGUUACCCGCUGAAUUUAAGCAUAUCAAGCGGAGGA